CACUGCUGGUGCCCCUUGCAGACCUCAGCUGCUGCCCUGUCAAACUUCCCACAUGACACCUAGACACAGGACUCCACUGCCAGAGAAGUAGCUAGCUGCAAGAGAGCCUCCCCCCUGGAAACCUAGGCAUACUUGUGUCUUAUAUUUUCCACAUGUGACCCCUUUUCACCCAAGAAAUACUUACAUGAAACCCAAGUACAUAGGUAUAUAAAAAUACUUCUACAGAUCAAAUAUUUACUGACAAUAAUUCAUCAAGAAAUGCAUUUUAAAGCAAUUCUUUGAUAGGUAUAUAUAUUUACUUUUUAUUAAAGACUAAAGCAAACUUGCAUGAUAAUGAGACAGAUGCACUUGUUAAUUUUCACAUGAAGAAUUGCAUCUUUUCUGAUUAUUUGAUAUUACGGGAUUUAGAACAUCUUCAAUAUCUUCCAGAAUUGACUGAGAUUUUGAUAUUAUAAUCAUCAGUGCUGAGAACACUAGUUCACAGAAACACACAGUACAAAAAUGGCAGAAGUAUAUAUUAAGGACUUUUCAGGAAUUAGAAAUUCUGUCCAAUCCCAAACAAAAACGUAUUUAACAAUGUUUUAUGAAAUGCAAGUCAGCCACAUAAACAGUAUGGUUAAAACUGUACAUUCAGACAUAAAACAAUACAAAAGUUAAACUAAUUUGACACUUGUACCCUGAGGAAUGAUGGCAGGAAAACGCUGGAAGUCUUUGUUUACCAAAAUCAGGCCACUGUUUCUACAAGAGCUGGCAACUGUAUACAUAGCAAAAACACAUACAUAACAUGCAAGAGUCUCUAAUCUGAGCUGAGAUGUUUGUUGGUACCAUGUGGUAUAUGUAUAAGAGGUGUGAUGUGUUGCUGUGUUCUGCGUUCAUGGCUGCAGUAAAGCCACACAUAUGCAACAUGGACUAUGGCCUGCACACACUCACUAUGUAUCUGAUUUUGAAUUGAUUUUCUCUCCUUGAGCAUUCAGAAAUCUUUUACCACUGCCUUUUUUUUAAAUACAACCCCCACAUGAUGGGGUUGUGACCUACAGUUUAAGAAGUUGAGUUCUGGGGUCAAAAUGACUUGAUCUCGUUUCUUUCCAAGGUGUCCCUAAGUCCAGGAGAAGCACAUGCAUGCAUGCAUGCUCACCUCUAUACAUAUUAGUGGGGCUUCUCUGCAGCGCACCUCCCUCCACAGCCCUUUUCCUACAAAGAGCACAAAGCUACUCUCCAGGCAUACACUGCCAGCGGACAUUCCCUUGGGAAAAUCUGAUUCCCUAUUACAGACUUACCAGCACCCGUGGGCAAAUCUAGUUCCAUUAGCUUUGGAGGAAAGGUCCUGGGAACCUAUCCCCAAGGCAGACCAUCUAUUCCUGUACCCUGAGGACACAUCUAGCUUCUUGAAAAACUGAGGGAGCAGUAGGAUGCCCCCCUCCCUGAUUGUAUUAAAAAAUCUCUUCUGGGAGACAGGAUUCUAGAAAUUAGAAAUUGAACCUAGGUCCUGACACACACUAGGCAGCUGCUUUAGCACAGCCCUAAAAAACAUCUUUUGUCUGGAAGUCCUUGAUGGCUCUCUGCCUUAAGUUUUGAGUUGGCCACCUACAGGGGUACAUACAGUUGCAUAGUUGUCAUAUUAGAGUCACAAGGAGAAAAGACCGAAAGAAAAAUAAUAUCCACCUCUCUCUCUCUCUCUCUCUCUCUCUGUGUGUGUGUGUGUGUGUGUGUGUGUGUGUGUGUGUGUGUGCAUGGUAUGUGUAUAAUUUGCUUUUUUUAAUUUUUGAAAUAGGGUGUGCUGGCUAGUUUUAUGUCAACUUGACACAAGCUAGAGUCAUCGGAGAGGAGGGAACCUCAGUUGUAAGAUCAGGCUGUAGGCAAGCCUGUGAAACAUUUUCUUAAUUAGUGAUUGAUGGGGGGAGGGCCCAGCUCACGGUGGGUGAUGCUACUCCUGGGCUGGUGGUCCUGAGUUCUAUAAGAAAGCAGCUGAAAAAGCCGUGAGGAGCAAGCCAGUAAGCAGCUCCCUUCCGUGCCCUCUGCAUCAGUUCCUGCCUCCAGGUUCCUGCCCGGUGUGUGCGUUGCUGUCCUGACUUCCUUUAAUGUUGAACAGUGCUGGGGAAGUGUAAGCCAAAUACACCCUUUCCUCCCCGACUUGCUUCAGUCAUAGUGUUUCAUCCAAUAGUAAUCCUGACUAAAACAUGGUCUCAUUAUAACCCUGACUGGCCUGUAGACUAGGCUGGCUUCACACUCAGAGUGAUCCCCCUGCCUCUGACUUCUGGGUACUGGAAUGAAAGGUAUACACCACCAUGCCUGGCUAUUUUGCACUUUUUCCUUUACACUUUUCCAUUUUAGAAUUUCCCAGAUAAUAAAAAAUAAAUAAAUAAACCCUUUGCUUAACAAAAUAAAUAAAUGCAAAGGUGGACCACCACACCUUGGUAAAAAGGAAGAGUAAGUAACCUGUUUCGAGCAGUUCAGGCUUUUCUCUCGCCCACACAAGCCGAGUGACCUUGUUAAUCUUUAUCCCGUUACUCUAGUCCUAGCUGGAAGAGCAAGGUAAAAAUUUCUGCUUCAGGUUUAUCAAGAAUUGCUUUCCCCUCAGAUGAAAUCUAAGCUUUAAGUAGUUAAUUGUCCAAUUUCAGUUUACAUUUCAAAGGGGUCUGGUUCUCUGUUUGGGGAAGUCUGUUUUACUCAAUUCUUAUUAGCAUACAAAUAUUUCUAAGCCGAUAACCAGUAAUUAUAGGACAUGUUAUGCUCUCCGCAUUAUGAAAGAGUCCUUUCUGAAUUCCCUUAUACCUAAUUCAACUUCUUUUCCCCCUUUGUUUCUUUUAGUCAGGGUCUUGCUACGUAGCCCAGGCUGGCCUAGAGCUCUUGACCCUCUGGCCCUUGCCUCCUGAGUUCUCAAACUGUAGGAGUGCGACAUCGUGCCUGGCCUGCUUCAACUUUUAUUCAGAAUUUUUUUAAUGAGCUGAUAUUGAAAAGUUAUUAAAAACAAACUUCUUUAAUAUGAUCACUAAACAGCAGGUACUUUAGGAGCUGGGGAGGUGGCUCAGGGAGGAAAAGUGUUUGUAAUGAAAGCUUGAGGACCCGAGUUCAAAUCCUCAGCAUCUACCUAAAAAGCUGGCAUGGCCUCCCAGACAGCUAUAAACCCAGCACUGCAGGGGGCGGAGACAGGAGGAGCCAUUCGACUUGCCACCUGCCAAUCAAGCUGCAGGCUCAGGGAGAAAUGUGGUCCCCAGGAAUAAGGUAGAGAGUGACAGGGCUGGAUGCCCAGUGUCCACCUCUGGCCUCCAAGCACUUGCACGUGAAUGGAAUUAUCUUUAACUUACGUCUCCAAAUAAUAAAAGCCCAUCAGGUAUAUUCCAAACACUUUACAUGGUACUAAAUGUUCAAGGUGAAAAAGAAAAUAACCGAUUGAACACAAUCUACCAGCAGUCUGUGUCUGCCCAGAUGACAAUCCAUCUAGGCUUAUUUUCAAAUGACCAUAGUGACUUUUUAACCAAAUAACUUCAACCCUGGUUUUGAUAUGCAAAUGCAAGAUAAAACACGCCUUAGUUUAUAAAUACGGCAGCCGCUCACAGCUUUCGCUUUAUUUUACUUUCAUCACCUACCAAUUAUCAUACACAGAUAUUUUCUAGGCCGCCAUUGUCUUUCCACCAGCGCUUCUCCUUGAAAUGGUGACCUUAGCUCACAAACACAAAGGGAGAAGAAUCCAUCUUUGCCGUGAGUCCUCCGUACAUUUUUCCACGUCUAGCAAGCUGUGCUUUGGGUGGCAUAUGCUUCCACAGGCCGCUCAGAAGGUUUAAUUGAGACUUAAGCACUCGACAAAUAUUUGUGGAAUUAAAUUGAGUUUCAGUGAUUACUCUGUAAUUCUUAAAGCGUGGAGACAUUAGAAGGUUAAAAAAAAAAAAAAAAGAAAGAUGGUGCUUUCACUGCAAAAUCUGUCCAAACCCAUCAAGGAUGUCAGGUGGUAGUGAGGGGCUGCCGUUGGUUAUUUGGGGUUCGUUAAAGAGAAGCCUUUGAUUGUUCUCCGAUGGCUGCUUUUUAAAGUCCCAGAUUUCUAAGCUGUCUCUCAGCUGGAGAUAAAUUCACUUCCUUCAGCCAUCUGGUGGCUCCCACUUGUAACUACAUCAUCUACUCAGCAGACAUGCCCAGUGAAUAUGAACUCCGUCCUUUCCUGGCCAUCCCUUACAGGGGUGUGUUUUGAUGAGCUGGUACCCAAGGAAUGCAUAGGUAUGAAAAUUCCAAGAGCAAUCUUAAUGGUUCUAACACCAAGUACACCUUAAAAUAAGAACAACAGGGUAGAGACUAUUGGAAAUGGGAGGAGAGUGUAUUCUAUUCAUGAAAGAAGGCAACUGAUAUUGAAUGGUCUUUAACAUACCAGGAGAGUGCCUAGAUGUUACAGUUAUAAAAAACCAUUCUGAGGAGACCUGUGCCCUCAGGAAACACAGGCCAAAUCACAAAAGCACCUCAGUGAGUGUGAGACUAGAUGUGCCGCAGUAGAGACGGAAAAUCUACCAGCUACAUCUCUUCCACCCUAUACUCAACCCCUACAGCUGGCUCCCCUCGGGAACAGGCAGUGUACACCAAAACAGAAUUGCUCUUUUAGAAACAGCGCGCAAGACAACGGAACUGCAAAGGCCCUGUACACAUUGACACCCCACCUUCCACGAAGCCAAGAAUACUCACAUCUUUGUGUAAUGCUUAACCCUCAAGGUCAUGGUGAUGCCUCUGAGCUGAGUCGUGACUGGGAGACCAAGGACUGUGUUGGUAAACAAGGUCCCAGGUGCAGCCCUCCCUAACUUAGCCAAAGGUUUCUCCUCCAAGCUCUCGGAGGAGAGAGGACAAGAAAGGGGUCACGGAGUCUGCUUGCCAGGCCAUAGCCACUCAGGCUCUACCUUCACCCCUACAGAAUGGAGUGUUACCUCCCAGAGAGGGAAGAGGUCACUCCUGCCUGGAGAGGCCUGAGGAGGCUCUGAGAGGCUUGAAGUAUGAGGUCAUUUCACAAGAACUGACAGACUUGCACAGCCCGGGACAGGAAGAGGCCAGUUCGUUUCACAAGGCAAGCGGAAGGGUAAAGGAUAAUAAUGAAGCAAGAGGCAGCUGCAGGACACUCCGCAGGUAAGAAGGAGGAGCGGCUAAGCAGCGGCUAUCGUUUGGCUAUUUGUCCCUGUGCUUUAUCCAACCUUGGUCUCAACAAUUCUCACUCGUACAAACUCUCCUCUUUCUUGCCAACUGGACUCCUGGAGCUCCACCUGGGGCCUGGCCUUGGAUCUCUGCAUCUGAGAUCCCAUCUGGUUAGGCGGGGCCAGAGGCUGGCACGCGCCUGUAACCCCAGCGCCUGGGAAGCAGAGGCAGGAGGAUUGGCAGUGGGCUACGGAGUGAGGUUAGAAACAACAACCAUUAGGCAGAGGCCUCCUCCAGGGGUUGUGUGUGACUGGCGUGUCCCGAGGCUGCCCCACUAGUAAUGGAGUCACUGAGUGACGGUAAGCUAGGACAGUGAUCUCGUGCCACGGCUGUUUGUGUUUUCCGAAGCAGCACAGACACUGUGUUGAAAGGAUGAAAGGAUGUUCAGAAGACUUAGAAAACCCGCUAGGUUGUUAACAGACAUUAUGGGGGGGUUCCAGGUGAAGAAGCAGGGAUGGGACUGUGGAGAUAAUUGAGCAGAAUAGCACGUCUUUGUAACUUGGGCAUAAAGGACUUGACAUAACACUCGUGCUGUGGCUCAGUGGUAGAGUGCUUGCCUAACAUGCCCCGGUCCUAGUCCAGAAAGAGAAUAUAGAAUUUUAGAUGACUCCCAGAUUUGUGGUCUAUCGACCAAGAGGGAGGAUUUUCCAGGCACUUUGUUCUGCGGGAGGACAACAGGCUGGGUAGACAAGCAUGAAGAGCCAGAGUUAAUGAGUCUAGUUCUGGAAGCAGUCACAUCAGCGUCCCCAUGGGGCAGCGCUCCUUCACCGCAGGUGGCAGGAGGUGCAGGCCUGAGACACUGCAGGGGGUCAAGGCAGAAGGUAUAGACUUGGAACAGAUCAAAGGCAAUUUUUCUAGGAAAAGGAAGUGUUUGUUGGUGACCCAACCCCUGCAGUGCCCACACUGAGAAGGAAGGAAGGCACCCUCUCCUGUACAGCCAGUGCAUUCAGACAGCUCAGCAGACAGGUGAACAGCUGAGAAUCUUCUGCAGAGCCUAGAAAUGACUCUGGAGUGGGGCACGCGGGAGGCUGGGGGGCGGGGGGAGAUCCAGAGUCACAAGGAUGCUAUGUAAAGUUCUAAAAAUAAGAAUUGCCAUCGUGUGUGUCUGGCUGCAUGAUCAUCCCAUAGCCAAUCAGAGCAAUUGUCAUCCUCACCCUGAGCGGGCUGUCACUUCUCAUCUUCACCCUUGACUAGAGCACUGAGCCCUGGCCCCUGCCAGCACUAGGGAUGGAGAUGAGAAGAGACUGGGGAGCCUGCAGGUGCGGAGGUGUCACCGUAGCCAAGAGAGGUCCCUGCUGCAAGCUUUACUCACCAUGAUGAACUGCACCUUCAAAUCACAGGCCAGGAUAAGCCCUUCCCUCCUUCCUUCUUGUCAAGUGUUUGCUCACAGCCACAAGAAAAAUGUGGGUUCCUUAUGCCGUCAGUGGCAGGAGGUUUCUUCAGUUCUUCGGUCAUCUACUUGCCCCUGGUAACAGGAAUACAAAUGCUUAAGUCACCCGCCAUUGAAAGCCCCGGCUUAUCGCAGGUCAAACUGCUCCUCAGUGUGAUGAAGCCUGCAGGGUUAACAGAAAGGAGUCACAUGUUGAUGGGCGCCUUAUGAGAAACAUCUUAUGGAAAUUAAACCACAAGAAAGCUUUC